GCCAGCCCCAUAAGUCAUUGCGCCAUAUAUUGUCACAUGUAAUAUGUAAGGCUUUGUCUUGCCACCCCAGAUAAUUGAGUAAUAUAUAAACACACACACACUAUAUAUUGCUUUUUCUAGUGUAAAAUAUUGGUCCUUUCAGAGUAAAAUGUUUAAUUAUACAGUAAGCAUACUCACAUGCAGACACAGACAAUCUCACUGACACACAUCCUCAUAGACAAACAAUCU